UUAGCCAGGUCUGAGGAAGCUCUUCAGCUUUAACCUCAUGCUUCUCCCCCACAAAUCUGUCUGCCCACACGCACACACAGCACAGUCGAGGAUACACAGUAACGACUGGUUUGUCAUGUUGCUUUGGCUGUUUUUCAUCACUAAGCUUCCUAACAUCAGAGUGGUUCAUCUGCUUUAAGAGGCGACAGAUUUCACUGGUUGAUUUGGAUGCAGCUGGGUGGAGGAGGGAGGGAGGGGGAGACAACCAGAGAAUCCUGUGAUGGUUCGACUAUGUUGUGCAGCAGAGCACUGAGGAGAGACAGAGGAUGAGGCAGCAUGUUGACAAUCAUGGGCCCGCACGGCAUCAGCCAAGCCGUACACAGGCUGGAGUUCUGCGGCUGCACGAAGGGGCUCGGUGUGAAAAUAAUUGGAGGUCACAGAGAGUUGACAGGAGAGGAGUUUGGCGUUUACAUCAAGCGGGUGAUAGCAGGAGGGUUGGCAGCUCUGGAUGGUCGGCUCAAGGCAGGUGACCUGAUUUUGGAUGUCAAUAACAUCAGUCUAAUAGGGGUGACCAAUAAGAGGGCGGUGGAGAUCCUGCGGACAGCCUCGCUUUCUAAUCACAUGUCCCUGCUGAUCGCCAGAGACGAUGACUCCAGGAGGGAGUUUGCUGAACUGAUGAAGAGGUACGGCUCCGGUACCGUCACAGCUUCAGGACAAACCACCCCUACAGGGAAGCUGAUGGACACGGCCUCCACUUCCUCCUCUUCCAGAUCUGAGAGCCCCCAGCUCCUCAGUCCCAGAGAGGGGCUCACUGCCUACACCCAUGGCUCCCCCUACACCAUGCACACACCCACACAUGCCUUCAGUGUCAUUCAGUUGAUCUGUGUUGCCAAGGGAACAGACCUGGGGCUCAUCAUCGAUGGCGGAACCAACCGCGCCAAAGGACCAAUGGUGUUCAUUCAGGAAAUGGUGCCUGGUGGAGACUGCCAGAAGGACGGCAGGCUGCAGGUCGGGGACCGACUGGUGUCCAUUAACAAAGAGUCCCUGAUCGGAGUGACAUGUGAGGAGGCCAGGAGCAUCCUGACUAGCACCAAACUCAGACCAGACCCCACAGUGGAAAUCGCCUUCAUCAGGCAGAGGUCAUCCUCCAGCCUCAGCAGCGGGCCCCUUGGCCCCAUCUCCCUGCUAGGGUCUGGGGGUGAGCCCCAGACGAGGGAUCCCAUGCCUCCACAGCCAGCUGUAGCCACCAAGAUCACCUGCCGCCAAGACCCUGCCAGCGAGAUACUGCCCGCAGUCAACAUCAGCCAAGUCCGAGAGUCAGCACUGUCCAAGUCUGAUCCAGGACCAGGCCACAUAAUGCAGGCGCAAGUGCAGACACGUGUGUCCUCGCCACCAGAGAGUGACAGCAUCACUGACACACACCCUGAGACGGGCGGCAGUCGGCCUCCACAGAGGAAGCUGAACACCAGCUGUCGCCUGAAACUGGAGAAGGUGGAGCAGACUGUGGAUCUGAUUGGUCUGAAGCCCACAGGGGCUCAGCGACAGGCGCUCAGGUCCAGACUACGGGCUGAUCCAGCUGGGACGGUGGCCUUCACAGAGUUCAAGAGCCUGAUCAGGGAGCUGUUCGAGCCUCAGCUGGAGGAGCUGGCCGUCACCCAGCCAGGGCUGAGGUUCACAUCUGAUGACCUGUGCGAUUUGUUGGAGCCACCCACCAGCCGGCAGCCGUCACUGUCAGACUCGGAGGAGCUGGACGAGAUGGAGAGGCUGAGGAAGGAGCACAUCAAGGCUCUGAGGGAGAUCAAGAGGCUGCAGGAGCAGCUGAUCGAGUCUCAAUUGCUUCACCAUCACAUGGAGGAGGAGCUCAGCAGGGCCCAGCAGGAGAUGGAGGAGCUGAAGAAGAGAGUGGCCAUCCAGGAGUGUCAGCUACAGAAAAGCGAAGUGACCAGAAAGGGCUUUGAGGUGUCAACAGGAAAACUGCUUAGCUUUGUGGAGAAUGUUCAGGAGUUCCUGUGUGAAAGUCAGUGUCCAACAAAGAGCUGCAGCUCUGGAGACAUUGAAGUCGGGGAGACAUCUCAGGGUCUCCCUCCUCGCUUCAAGAAGAGCCCCUCUAUGGUGGCCACGCUGGCCCAGGAGGCACAGGAGCUCACACGGACUGUCAGAGCCCUGCUGGAGGUUGACUUGCUGACCUUCUAGAGGACCCAACUGUAGGAGAACAGAGUCAGCGGCUCUGAGACGUCAGCAAGAAAUCAUCAGUCAGCCCUCUCCUUCCUGAUCCUCAUCUCCUCAGCUCCUGCUAGCAAUGGACUAACUCUGCAUGAAGCACGGUUUUGUUUCUGUGAAGCACUGUACACUCUCUGAAUAAUUGGUACACACUAAACUGUGGUUUUACUCCAAUGGUCCAAACUGAACAUGGAAGAGAAAUCCACAACACUCGAGCUCGUCUGCAAACAACCAGUUUACUCUGUGAGACGUUUGUGGGGUAUGUUAACACACUGGAGGAAGGCCACAUUAGAGCUGAUGGAGUACAUGAACAUCUGGCCACUGAAUUAUAUUCAUUAUGUGAUGAGACUGAUGCUUCCAACAUUUUAGAAAUCACAGGUUUCACAGUUUGUCUGAAGGUGAGAGGUCACCAGUGAGGAGCAGCUUGUUAGAUCAGGAAAAACAGGAAUCAUCAGGUCGCACGACGAAAUUUCCAGACCAUUUUUAGGAAAAGAAAUUGGAGAAAUAUUUGAAAUGUUUUAAGAAAAAGGUCAUUAAUUAUGUUUUUCUCCUAAAUGAUUCAUUUCGGGGUUCGAGAAGUGAGGCUGUGGCUGGAAGGUCACCGGUUCAGUCCUGAGACCAGCAGGACCAGUGUGGAGCUGUUCAAUGGCCACAGGUCUGUGGUCCUACUGCGGAGCUUUCUGGUGUGAACAUGAAGGAACAGAGAUGGCCUCUCACAGGACCUACCCUGAAUAAACAAAGUGCAAUUGGCAUGCAGAAGGCAGGAAGUGUGUUUCUGACACAAUCACCUAAUUUCCCUCCACGUGUGAGCGUCGGUGGGAGGACGCGGGCACAGUUACAUAAUUAACGGCCGUGAUUCAGGCGGCAAGAGAAGCCAUCCUGGGUCAUUCACGGUGUCCUGUUAGAAAUAAUGGAGACGGACAGACUAAACCACGUCACAGUGCAGAGAGAAACUGGGUCAGUCUGAUCCAGGCUCACAGCCUGUGGACGUCUGCCAGUGUGCUCAUCACAGUCACCUGUAGCGGGCUCUUGUUGCCUGGAUACGUGUUCUGCUUUAAAAUGGCAAAGCUUGUAUCUGUAGAACACUUGGUUUUCUUCAUUCACCACACACUGCAUGACAAGCAAUCAGCAGGCUGAGCAACUUCGCACACACGCAGCUCAUUCACUUCUUGUUUGCAAGCAGCAACUCAGACACCGUUGCCAUGACGACCACAUCUCCUAUAAAUUACAUUCAUCUGCAGCAUACAUUUACAGGGUUACAUGCUCUCAGGGUGGCUGUAGCUUUUUCUUCAUUAAACACACUGCCAAUGUGGUUCAGCUUCAUGUUAGACAACAGAAGUCAACUUUCAACAACUGCCUCUACUUCUCAUCUCAGGAGUGACUCACUCCAUCACCAGACGGAUACAGAGACUGGUUCUUUCUGUGCAUCAGACACUCUUCUGUAGUUUGACAGUAUGGUCACAGAGUGAGGGGUAGCACCGGUGGUAGACCGGAGAACAUGUUGGACUCUUACAGACAUUAGCUAUACAGAGAACAUGAAUGGAAGGUUUGAUACAAAGCUGGGUGUUUUACCAGCAUGGAACCGGAUCCAGAAGAGAACCUCCCUAGGAACAGACUUGGUCUGCAACCAAACAGUAAUAACCUGUGUUUUCCACUGAUGAAAAUGCAGCUACAGAGUGAAUCAGUUUAAAAAUAUUUACGGCUUCUGAUUCAUUUGACAUUUGAGAUCUGCAUCCUAAUGAAAAGGUUCAUGUGGGCAUCUACUAUAUUUUCUUCAUGACAGAGUCCAACAGCCUCUGAAUGUCUCCUCCUAACAAGUAUGACAACCUGAGCUCCCUCCUCCCUCUGAGCCACAGAACUCCACUGUGUCCACACCAGUGACCACAUUGCCAUUAAUACUCACUAAAGAGCAAAUGUGGAAUCAUCCGCUCCUGAAAAUAGUCCCCACAGUCUUCUGUAUCUCAAGAGAAUGAAGCAACAGCACAUAUGAACGUUAAAAGACCAUGCAACUUGUAGUUGGAGAGAGACACU